GACGAACGCUGGCGGCGUGCUUAACACAUGCAAGUCGAACGGAAAGACCCUGCUUUUGUGGGGUGCUCGAGUGGCGAACGGGUGAGUAACACGUGAGUAACCUGCCCUUGACUUUGGGAUAACUUCAGGAAGCUGGGGCUAAUACCGGAUAGGAGCUCCUGCUGCAUGGUGGGGGUUGGAAAGUUUCGGCGGUUGGGGAUGGACUCGCGGCUUAUCAGCUUGUUGGUGGGGUAGUGGCUUACCAAGGCUUUGACGGGUAGCCGGCCUGAGAGGGUGACCGGCCACAUUGGGACUGAGAUACGGCCCAGACUCCUACGGGAGGCAGCAGUGGGGAAUAUUGCACAAUCGGCGGAAGCCUGAUGCAGCAACGCCGCGUGCGGGAUGACGGCCUUCGGGUUGUAAACCGCUUUCGCCUGUGACGAAGCGUGAGUGACGGUAAUGGGUAAAGAAGCACCGGCUAACUACGUG
rnacentral:rRNA from 1 species